UACGUAGGGGGCAAGCGUUGUCCGGAAUUAUUGGGCGUAAAGGGCACGCAGGCGGUUUUCUAAGUCUGAUGUGAAAGGCCACGGCUCAACCGUGGAGGUGCAUUGGAAACUGGAGGACUUGAGUGCAGGAGAGGGAAGUGGAAUUCCACGUGUAGCGGUGAAAUGCGUAGAGAUGUGGAGGAACACCAGUGGCGAAGGCGACUUCCUGGCCUGAUACUGACGCUGAGGUGCGAAAGCGUGGGGAGCGAACAGG
rnacentral:rRNA from 1 species